GUGGCGAUUUUUGGUUGUAGGAGCUCUUGUGUCAGUGGUGUUUGCGGUCAAAUUGGAGAAAUGUCCUGGGCCUCAACCACUUGGCUUCCGAUCAAAUGCGUGCAAUGAAACUCAUUGUUUUAUCUCACUUUCGUCUCCUAUUGGAUUUGAAGUAGAUGCCAAAAUAACUAAGAACACAAUCCAUGUCUUUCCGAGUAUUAUGUUUCUUUACUACGAGGAUGGUGUUCAGCGAGGAGAGCUUCCAAUUAACAUUGAUAUCAGGCGAGGAUGUAAAUUUAUUGUAUCCCAUACCUGUCCACUCAAAAAAGGUGAUAUCAUUACUUGGGCCAUGGAUUGGGACUUCCUUCCAGCUGAAGUAGCCAGAGUUGGUUCAACAUUUAAAGGACAAAUUGUCCUACAUGAUGAAUUUCAGAGGCAUGUUGUAUGUUUGAAAAUUAAUCUAAUUGUUACAAAAUAAAAUUUUUAGUAU